rnacentral:pre_miRNA from 1 species
UUUCUACUCCCUCCGUCCGAAAAUACUUGUCAUCAAAAUGGAUAAAAAGAGAUGUAUCUAAAACUAAAAUACGUCUAGAUACAUUUCCUUUUAUCCAUUUUGAUGACAAGUAUUUCCGGACGGAUGGAAUAUUUG